rnacentral:rRNA from 1 species
CCUACGGGUGGCAGCAGUGAGGAAUAUUGGUCAAUGGUCGGGAGACUGAACCAGCCAAGCCGCGUGAGGGAUGAAGGUACAGAGUAUCGUAAACCUCUUUUGUCAGGGAACAAAGGCGGGGACGCGUCCCCGGAUGAGUGUACCUGAAGAAAAAGCAUCGGCUAACUCCGUGCCAGCAGCCGCGGUAAUACGGAGGAUGCGAGCGUUAUCCGGAUUUAUUGGGUUUAAAGGGUGCGCAGGCCGUCUGUUAAGUCAGCGGUGAAAGGCCCGGGCUCAACCCCGGCCCCGCGGUUGAAACUGGCAGUCUUGAGUUGGAGAGAAGUAGGCGGAAUGCGCGGUGUAGCGGUGAAAUGCAUAGAUAUCGCGCAGAACUCCGAUUGCGAAGGCAGCAUGCCGGCUCCAAACUGACGCUGAGGCACGAAAGCGUGGGUAUCGAACAGGAUUAGAUACCCUAGUAGUC